AACUUUAGCUGUAAUGAUGGUACUAAUGGCCAGGAACACUCAGCACUUACCACCAGCUGUCAGUCCCCUCCCAGGAAGCUUCUCUGGGCACACAGGAAGUACACUGCUAGCUGAAGAGAGGCACAACAAACUGCACAUCAGAAUUCCAGAUUAAGAUCUGCAGUGGUUUAUACCAAUGCUCAUGAUGUAGAGCAAAAUGAGUGUCUGGCGCUCUAGCAGUGAAGCACUAUGUAAUGUCGUAUUUGGCUUGAGAUGGUUCUAUGGGUGUUGAAGAUAUACAAGUGUAUCAAAGGUAUUUUUAAGAGUUAUUUACAGAUUGUGUCAGAAGAGAAAAACAGUUUGGUUCUUCUCAUGCCCAAGAACUUUUCCUUCCUUUAUGACUUGGUUGUGAAAAGAAUUUUUGUGGAUAUAAACUUAUAGGCUUUAGCUUUAAAUAUUUAAUUGUGAACUGCUGAAUUAAACCAAAAGAUAGCUUUUAGGUUCCUUUCUACUUUUGAUUGUGUAGUCUUAUCCUGUG
ensembl:lncRNA